AAAAAACAGGAACCUUAGUUGUUAAAGAAAUCCAAAUCCGCUAGAUGUAUCAAAGUGUUGAGAAGCUUCUCCUAGAGUUAAGAGAAAAGAAAAGAACGAUUAGAAAAAUUGCUUAAAAGAUUCAUGAAUGCAAAAGGUAGAGUCAAGUUCUUAUAUUGGGAUUGGACAUGGGAUUACCAUUAGAGCUUCAUUGGUUAUACUCUGGGUAGAUGGGAUCUUAUCUUUGUAUGCAUAGCUUGGGACUUACCUUUAGCAUUCUACUAAAACUUAAUCAUUUUUUGAGAGAUCCCCUGUUACUGAAACCUAUUCUGUAAGGGACCAUCUUUGUCUCUUGACCUUAACCUUAGCCAAAUGAGUUCAUUGAUGAUGAAUUGCUUGAUUCACGUUCCAAAACUAAUGA
rnacentral:sRNA from 1 species